GGAGAAGGUGGCAGCUUGACUGAGCUGUGAGCUGAGAGGAAGCAGUCGCUGGUUCCCAGUAGAAGUCCAAAGAUGCUAAUAUUAUAGAACCCACAGUCCCUGCACAGGCUCCACGGAACCAUACUCCAUAUCGAUACGCAUGGAGCCCUCAACUUCCUGGUGGUGACUGUGGUUGGACCAAGAUGGCCCAGGACAACCCUCACUUCCUAGCUUUCCACGAGCAUCGCUCCGCUAACCGUUGGCCGAUCCCCUCCCCCCCAGAGAGGCAGCCACAGUGAUGGAGGAGCGGCCUUUUUGG
rnacentral:lncRNA from 1 species